CACAACCCAGGAGCAUUUUUCCUGGUAAAAAUCAGGAUGGUUUCUUAUUCUUCAAGGCUGCUGUGCACAUGGUCUGCUUCCUGACAGGAAACAAAAAGUAGAAAACACCUUUUCUCCUGGGAAGCUCCUUUUCAGACUAGUAGUGCCAGACGACCCCUCUUCACUCUGAAAUACUGUAGAAUUGAGGACCUCAGAUAACUUUUGUUUAGUUUUGACUUAACAGAUUCCCCUGAGAGGAUCUCAGAGGCUCCCAGAAGUGCUUAGAAAACACUUUGGAAACUGCUGCUCCAGAGAAGAUGUUACACUUCUUUCCAAACAGAUGUGUACAAACAUGUUCAUAGUGGUUUUAUAAGUAAAAACAAAGCAAAAAACCAAGGUCCUCCUUGGAGAAAUGUCUGUUCAAGUCCUUUGCCCACUUUUUAAUUGGGUUGCCUGUCUUCUUAGAGUGAAGUCGUAAGAAAGAUGUGGCCCAUCCUGUCAUCCUGUUACUGGUAAAAAUUUCCAGACUUCAAAGAGCCAAUUGAAAGUUCUUGGUUCUGGCCAAGAAGGGUAUACUCAUUGAUUUCAGAGAAGAAGGAAGAGAGAGUGAGAGAGAAGCAUCGAUCAGCCUCCCACAUGUGCCCUGACUGGGGACCAAACCCGCAACCUACACACGCACCCUGACCAGGCAGCUAUCAUCAUGGUUUGGAAAAGAAACCUUGAUGCUAUUCAGAGAAUACUUUGAGUCCCCAAACCAACAUCUGCUUCCUGAAUGCCCUCCUUGUACUAGAGCCGGGUGACUGUCCUGUCCCACUCCGAGUCCCACUGGAGAAUGCAGUAAGAGAAUGAGAAGAAGUCGUGUCAUUCAGGACCCUGUCCUGUGCUCCUGGCCCCAAGAAGGUUCUCAGGACCCUUGGUGCAGAAAGACAAAACAAAACAAAACUUUGCUGCUGCUCCUACUUCUCAACCACAUUCAUUGAGCCCCUCCUUUGUCUAGGCCCUGGGGAUGCAAGUAAGAAUAAAAAAUGAUCCCGUCCCUCCAAAGAGUGCAUUUAUCCAACCAGUGAGACGGACAUGGGAACGAAUACUCUCAUAUCAUGUGACAAGCAAUAUGGAGUGAUGUACAAAGUGCUAUGGAAAUCCGGCUGAGGGAGUAAUUAAUUUUGUGUGACAGGUUGUGGCAGGCUAUGACAAGAAGGUGACAUCUGAGCUGGGUGUAGACAGCUAAGAGAGGAUUUGGGGGAGAGCUAUUUUAGAUAGAAGAAACAACAGUCUCAGUGGUGUCAAAGAGCACGGUUGUUUGAGGAUAGAGAGUAGGGA